GCGUUGGCAUUGAAAGUGUGGCAGGCGAGCUGCCAACAACGCUCCAUUCCCAGAAAAUUCCCAAUCGGAAGCAGAAGAAUUCUAAACACAACAAAAAGUACUGCAUAUAAUAACCACCUCAAAAAAGAGCCAGCAAACAAUCCCUACAUUAUUUGUUACAAAUUAGACACGCAAAUGACAUCAACAGCGAAAUUGAAUCAGUUAAAAACCAACCCAUUCAAAAUGGAAAAGCAAAUACAAUGCAAAAUAAUUGGAAAUUAAUUGUGCUCAAUUCUACGCGAAGUGCGUGUCAUAUCACAAAAAAAUCGAAGAUAAACACACGAAUAGGUAAUUUCGCCAAACAUAAAUUAAAUCCUUUUAAGUGCAUUCUAUUGUGUGAUUAGAAAAACUAGGAAGUAAAUAACGAAAUUGAUUUAAGAAUGCAAGCGCAUUUCACAACUAUUUUAAAUACGUGCCUCAAACAAGUGAGUUUUUACAUGAAGAUACCACAAUUAAAAAGCAAUUAGAAGAAGUCGGUGGAACAAUAAAUUAAUAAAAUAUCAAAUGGGAUCAUAAAAGGUGAGCAUUGUUUCACAAAGUUAUUAAAACUAUCAGUCAUUUCGUCAUCCAUUUUUCACUUGCUAUAUGAAAUGCAUACAUUUGUUUAGAAAUUGUUUUUUGUUUCUUUAUUAUAUCAGCAUAUAAAUUUCUAAAAAACCUAAUCAUUCCAAACCCAGUUUAAAAUGUCCAUACACUCGUAUUCCUUGCUCAAACUUUGAAAGCUCUGUGAAGCUUUUCGCUAGGAUCAAGGGAUGAGGAUCUCACAACCACCCGAACCCUUGAAAUUGUUUUUCAGCCUUUUGUUUUGUUUUGCUUCGGCUAGAAAAAGCGUCGCAAUAAAAACAGGAAUUCGCAAAAAGCAAAAGUGAGUUGCAAACACAGAUAAAAGUGCGCAUAUACAGAUACAUUUUAGGGAUGAGAAAUGAGGGGAGGAGAAUAAUGAAUGAAAGAAUGGUGGAGAGUGGAGCAAGAGCUGGCGAGAGAGCCAAGCCAGUUUGAAGGCCACUGCGAAGAGAAUCACAUGUGCUUUUCGUGGUUUCGAAGAGGGGCAGUGUGGGGCAGUAGGGCAAAAGUAGAAGGCCCAAGAAACAGGAACAGGAAGAAACGAAAAAACUUGACGAAACAGCACGCUGUGAGUCUGCGAGAGAGGGAAGAGAGUGGUUUUGCCAGUAGAUAGAAACUCUGUCGACGUCGACGGCGACGCUGGCAGAGGCUGCGCCGCGGCAGAGGUGAGAACUUUCACAAAAAAGCGGCGACAUUGAACAGCGGUGCCUUCAACCGAUCGCAUUUGCUGCCUGUUCACCCAAGCCAAUAGAUAAUUCAUAAAGAUAAUCAAAAACCCAAAUAUAAAACUUAAAGAAUUAAAGUUCGCCACAGAAUUAAGUUUGCUUCUUGCCCGAAAAGUGAAAAUUUUCCGUUUUUCUGCCCUUACCAAAUCUGAACAAAGUGCAUGUUGGAAAAACAAAAAGUAUCGGCAAACACAGACACAAAAAGAAAUGUGGCAAAAAACAACAGAAUGGUGGCGGCGAGCUGCGUCAGCAUGGAAAUUUAAUUAGCGACAGUUCAGUUCAGCUGAGCGGCGAUAAGUCGAAAGGAUUGGAUGGCACACUGUACCGCCCACUUGCUCGGCCCCUGCAGCCAUCCACCACCACCCACUGGGCCACGAUGAGGGGAAGGAGGAGAUUUCGUUGAUUUUUGCAUGACGACAGCAAAAAGCGAAAAGGCGGAACAACAAUCGAAAUGCAACUGCACGGUUGUGUGGGUGUGCGAGCGAGGCAGCCUAUGUGAACCAGACAUGCGCGCUCUCUCUCAGCGACUUGAACUUGAAAACUUUUUACUGCCGGCAAAACAAGAGAGAGAACGGAGAAGAGAGAGAGAGAGAGCGCUGAACAGGUAUGUGUAUGUGUGAGUGUUUUCCAUUGAUUAAGUUAAACAAAAACAAAAUCAGAGCUGAGCGCAAGCUUCGCUCCCGCAGCUUUUGAUUUUCGCGAGAGCAGCAAGCAGCUUUUGCGUGGGCGGCUUAAGGCAGCGCAGUCGAAGUCGCUGCCGGCGUCAGCCAACUGUUUGCUGUUUUGUUGUAGGCACAUAGUGUUGCAUACCUAAGGGGAUAGGAAGUAGCGAAGUAGCGGGACUGGACAGCGGAGUGAGAAGCGGGAAAACGGUAGGUGGGAGGCGGGAGGCAGUGGGGGAGGGGCGUGACCUCCACCUGUGCGAGCCCAGCUGCAGCUUCCCCGUUGGACAAGCUGGCAAAGUUUAUUCGGUGACGAGCGGGCGACCGAUGAGGUCAGCAUCACGCAUACGCCUAGUUAUCCCCCGUGUGCCCAGUAUCCUGUUCGCUGUUAUUUUCAGUUCGUUCGCUUGUGAGUGUCCGUGUGCACUUCGUUCCAAGUUCAUUUUAAAGGCGCGUCGCCCUAGUGGCAAAAUCAGGUGUGGAGAAUUGAUUAGCACACAGCCCGAAAAUGGGAGAAAAAUACAAACAAUAUGGUCGCUGCGGUGUGUGUACUUACAUAAAACUCAAGUCAAGUGACGCACCCCAGCAUAUGGCAAUUAAAUUUGAAUAAUUAACCAGCUGAGAACGACACGAACGGAGCUCUCUUCGACACACACACACACACGCACACCAACGGGCAUACGGACGUACUAACACUAGCUCACAUUUGCCAUAUGCAACACUCGUUGUUGUUGUUCUUAGCCUGCACCUUGACCUUUCCACACUCAUGCAGCAGUACGCGUGGGCAGCAGCAGGAUAUUGGAUACACGCGCCCCAUUUCGCGGGAUCGGGGAUAUAUAUAUAUAUAUACAUAUGUACAUGUGCAUGUACACAUACACUCGGCUGGCAGCUGUUUGUAGCCGAAACCAAGGAGACGAGAUGCACGACAAAAACACUUCGGUUGUCACACUGAAAAGAGGACCAGUUGGACCUGCGGAAAGUUUCGCCCACGAGUCACAGAUGGUGUAAGUGCAAUUAAUUAAAUAUCGAGAAAAAUGCAGGAAGUAACUCAGUUCAAAUAGUGAAGAGGGAUAUAAAUGGGUUCAGGUAACAGAGUAGAGUUUAAAGUUUGUGAGAUAAACUACAGAAAAUCACAGAAUCAGAAAAAAGUAAAAGCGAAGUAAAUAUAAAAUAAAUAUAAAAAUUAUAUUUAAAUCGCUAUCGUUUUUAUUGCGCCUCAUCUAUUUAAUGAUGUUUAAAAAAAUACGGCAUUGUUAAAUUCGUAAUGCACUCAGAGUGCCAUUGCAUUUAGUUGUGAAAUUAAAUUAAAUAUGACUAUAUGAAUAAGUUUAGCUCUCGUUUAACUAAAAUUAUAAAUUCAUAUAAACUGCGGCUUAUAUCGCGUUUGCUUAGUGCAAAGAAAAGUUAGAUACAUUUAACAUAAUUAAAAGCAGUAUAAUAAAAUGUGACUUUAGUGGCUCAUUGCGAACUAAUGUUUAAAAACCAAAA